AGUGAACGCUGGCGGUAGGCCUAACACAUGCAAGUCGAACGGCAGCACAGUAAGAGCUUGCUCUUACGGGUGGCGAGUGGCGGACGGGUGAGGAAUACAUCGGAAUCUACUUUUUCGUGGGGGAUAACGUAGGGAAACUUACGCUAGUACCGCAUACGACCUACGGGUGAAAGCAGGGGAUCUUCGGACCUUGCGCGAUUGAAUGAGCCGAUGUCGGAUUAGCUAGUUGGCGGGGUAAAGGCCCACCAAGGCGACGAUCCGUAGCUGGUCUGAGAGGAUGAUCAGCCACACUGGAACUGAGACACGGUCCAGACUCCUACGGGAGGCAGCAGUGGGGAAUAUUGGACAAUGGGCGCAAGCCUGAUCCAGCCAUACCGCGUGGGUGAAGAAGGCCUUCGGGUUGUAAAGCCCUUUUGUUGGGAAAGAAAAGCAGCAGGUUAAUACCCCGCUGUUCUGACGGUACCCAAAGAAUAAGUACCGGCUAACUUCGUG
rnacentral:rRNA from 1 species